UUUAAUUCUCAAUUGAAUUUUCAUGUUUGAUGUGUCGUAAUUAUUCGCAAAUGUUUUAACAUGCAAAUUUAUUUUAAAAAUAUGCAAAUUGACGUAGGAGCCAUCGAUAUUGAACACCCUGUAUUUUCCUAGUUUCUAACGUUACGCAUAGAGAUAAGAACCGCAAAGUACCGACGGUCCUUCUAACCUAUAUUGAUUAGACGGUCAUAGGUUAAAAAUGAUAAUCAAAUAUGCCAGUCUGUCUUAGUAUUGCUUUGUUAUGCUAUUUAUGCAGUUGUCUGAACAUGAAACCAUUAAUAUUUUUAAUUUUAUUAUACGCAAUAAAUAUUGAAAGUUUAAUACUUAAUAAUUCAAAAGAUAAAGAUGAAGGGAAAAGCAGUUUGGCAUUCGUUUUUGACACAACUGGCUCUAUGUCAAAUGACCUUAAACAGUUAAGGGAAGGCGCGGAAAUGAUUUUAAAAACUGCAUUGGAAGAAAGUAAUAUUAUAGCUGAUUUUGUUUUUGUGCCGUUUCAUGAUCCCAAUAUAGGCCCAGCGACGGUAACAAAGAAUAAACAAGUAUUCAAAGCCGCAUUGAAUAUAAUCCACGUAAAGGGCGGCGGGGAUUGCCCUGAGAAGUCACUGAGCGGGGUCUUGUUAGCGCUAAGUGUUAGUCGACCUAGGUCUUACGUGUAUGUGUUCACUGACGCAUCUGCAUCGGAUUACAAGAUCGUCGGCAAAGUGUUAGAUGUGGUGCAAAGGAAACAAAGUCAGGUGGUAUUCGUGUUGACUGGACACUGCAAUGACCUGAAGCGGCAAACCUACAAGGUGUACCAGCAGGUCGCGACUGCCAGCUCUGGCCAAGUGUUCAACUUGAACAAGACCAAUGUGCAUAAUGUGUUGGAUUUCGUGAGAAGUUCGAUAAGAGGCAGAAGCGUUAACUUGGGGUCUGCAGUGCAUCCGGGUGGUUAUAACUACACGCAAGCGAUUCCAGUAGACAGCAGUUUGGGAGAAGUGACAGUGUCAGUAUCAGGAGCCAAGCCGACCAUCAAAGUGGUGAACCCUAGUGGCCACGAGGUGUUGGGACCACCACAGCUCGUCACCACAUUGGAUCUGUCUGAGAUAAUGAUAGUAAAAGUACUAGAUCCAGAACCUGGCAAUUGGACUAUAACAGUUGGCAGUGAGAAGGAUUAUUCAGUAAAAGUGUCCGGUCUAUCAAACAUCACCUUUGAUCACGGCUUCUCUGUAGAGAAGACUAACUCUAUGGACGAAGCUAGCUAUAGACCUUUGCAAGGAACAUACAACCAUAUGCUGCUAUCAAUAACACCAGAAGUACCCAUAGAGAUUAACUUCGCUGAAAUAUUGACUACUGAUGGAAAGACGCUCUUCGAAGUUCCCGUCAAAAGAAUGGACGACAUGUUCCUAGCGGACGCGUUUAUACCGCCUGAUGGUUUCUUUUAUAUUGCUAUAAAUGGGCGGGAUGAAAACGGCCAGGAGUUUCGUAGAGUGGGCCCCACCGCUGUGCAGGCUAAACCGCCAGAUGUUCCAUAUUUAACUGCCCCAAAACAGAUAGAAGGGCGUUCUCACGAUCGUGUAGUUCUCAAAUGCAAUGUGGAAAGUCUGGUCCCAGUGAGCGUGCAGUGGACCAGAGACUCCCCGAGGAUGGAAAGGAAGACUUCAAGUCUACAAAGUACUUCAAUAGAAUACGUGAUAGAAGACAUGAACGAGGCCGACGUUGGCACGUACCGGUGUUCCGCGAGCAACGCCGCGGGGCAUAGCAAGACUAACACCCAGCUCUCCUUACUAGUGGAGCCGCCGCAAGUGUCAGUGUUGCCAGUGAACGCAACACUAUCUGCUGGGGAAGACCUGACAGUGUCCUGUGCGGUGUUCAGCGAGGCAGUACUCCUUAAGAGCCAGAUUUUAUUUGACAAUGGCAACACCGUUAAUGUAACUAAUAUUAAAGUUGGAAGGAAUAUUGACGGCUUUUAUUCCUACAACAAGACGAUUUCCAACGUCACUGAAAAACAUCGCGGCCAAUACACCUGUCUUGCUGCUAACAGAGGUGGUUCAACAAAUCAAUCUACAUAUAUAUUGAUAGAAAGUGAACCAACAGCUAAAAUAUUAGGAGCCCACAAUCUCGCUGGACAAAUUGACACUAAACUACAAUUACUCUGUCAAGUAGAGAAUGCUAAUUUGGCACAAUGGAUGUCACCAGAUGGCACUCUGGUGCAAGAAGUGGCAAUCAAUGGCACUUACAAUAUUAGCCUGGAUGUGACCGUUUCUGAAGAAGGAUAUUGGACUUGUAUUGGUUUACGAAAUUCACAUAGAGCCUCAGAUAUAGUACAAGUGAACAUAGAGAUAAAGCCUGAAGUAAAUGUCGACGUGAGGAACAUAACAAUAGUCCAAGGCAGCAUACAGCAGCUAGUGUGUACUGCGCGCGGCAAGCCGCCACCCACAAUAGUAUGGCAAAGAGGGACUGAACAAAUUAAUAAUACUGUGGUGCAAGUGAAAGAGACAGUAUAUAGGAGCGUGUUAACGUUAGACAGUGACAGAGAGACUGUGAACGGGACGUACUUGUGUAUCGCAGAAAACUCGCUCGGGACUGCACAAGAUACAGUUAUUGUUAAUGUACGCAAGAAAAUGCGGAUAUUGGAAAACUUUACAGAUCAGCAAGUAGAACUGUACUCUCAAAUAGACUUGCAUUGUAACGUGGACACACUUCCCCCGGCGACAGUGACGUGGCAACACAACAACACACACAUACAGACAGACGACACGGAUAUAUCUGAAGACGGGACUACUUUGUAUAUACAGAAAAUUGAUUUUAAACAUCUGGGACUUUAUACUUGUAUAAUGGAUAAUGGAUACGAGAGGAUACAGAUUAAUGGAACACUACAAGUUGUUGGAUUGGAAAAUCCCGAGUUGUCAAAGGAACCUUCUAGAAUAACAGCGCGUAGAGGCGACACCGCUUUUAUAUCAUGUAGUUUAUUAAAGGGUAAUCCAGAACCGAAGAUAACAUGGCAAUACAAAAACAAUGAAACAGAAGAGUUUCAAUAUCUUAGAAACAAUAUGAAAGUAAACGAAGAAGGUUUUGAAGUCUCCAUACAUAAUGCAAGUCGACAAGACGAAGGUUUUUAUCAAUGUAUAGCAGAAAAUGCUAUUGGAAAAGAUAAUUAUCAACUAUUUCUUAAUAUACAAUAUCCUCCAGAAUUGAAAUAUUCUAAACAAAAUGGAAGUAAUCAGUUAGAAAUAAAAUCCGGUGAGAAAGUAGUGUUAAGUUGCAACGCGGUCGGCAAUCCUCAACCUAUAGUUGUGUGGACUAAAGAAGGAAAACCUAUAUCGUAUUCUAGAAAUAUAUACCUAAAUGACGCAAAUGAAGUAGUGAUAGAAAACGCUACAGUGUAUAAUGCAGGUGCUUACAGCUGCAAUGCUUCCAGCGCAUUAGGCGCAGUUACUAACAAUUAUACAUUACAAGUUUACAUGUCCCCUACAAUAAUGUCUUCUCAACCGGAGCAAGCUAUAGAAGUGUUAGAAGGUGAGCUGGUGGAGCUGCCGUGCGCUGCGUCCGGCGCUCCGGCUCCGGCUGUCUCCUGGUCACAUAACAAUCAUCUCACUGAUCACAGGAAAUAUAUAGAUCAAUAUGGAUUAAGAUUUGUUGCUAAUUUAACAGACUUUGGGGAAUAUUCGUGUGUUGCAACCAACGCUUACGGCAAAGCGAUUUUAAACUACACAGUUUAUGUUUGGGUGGCCCCAUAUUUAGAGCCGCCAUUAUUGGAGACAAAGAACAUUGUGUCAGGUUCUAAUGUAACUCUGCAAUGCAGUGCUACAGGUUUCCCAGUUCCCGUCAUCUUGUGGCAGUUUAACGAUAAUUUAUUGACUGAGAAUACCACGGAUUUAAGUUCAAAUGAUAUCGGCCAACUGAACAUAACAAACGCGAGAAAUAAACACGAGGGACAUUAUGAAUGCGUUGCAGAGAACUUGGCGGGUUUCGCAGUAAAGACGUUUAUUCUCAAUAUUAACGAACCACCAAAAAUAAUAGAAGAUAAUUACACCGGGCCAUAUAUAGCUACAGUACUGGAUACUUCUCUUACAGUCGCCUGCAAAGCGACAGGCAAACCUACACCUUAUGUUGUAUGGAUUAAAGACGGAUAUUAUUUGGAUAAAGAUUUCCGUUACGACAUCGAUGUGGACGGAACAUUAACUAUCAAAUCUCCUUCGGAAGACCUUAGUGGCGAUUACACUUGCUUAGCUAAAAACUCAGUAGGCACUGCCUCCCGGACUGUACCAGUACAGAUAUACUCUGUCCCCAGUAUGAUGUCAGAAGAGGCAGAGUCCGUAGUGCACGUGGUGGAGGGAAGCAAUGCCACCAUCGAAUGCCCCCUGCGUCUCGGACUUAAUGACACCCUGAAAUGGUAUAAGGACGCAGUAUUAAUAUCAACAGGGCCAUUAUACUUGUAUCCAGUGCGUCGUACUCAUGGCGCGAGGUACGCGUGCGUUGUGAGCAAUAUGGCGGGCGGCGCGCACGCGGCGUUGGCAGUCGACGUGCAAUGGCCGCCGCAUGCACAUCAAAAUGCAGUAAUGCUGGAGAUUGUCGCAGGAGAUGAUGCUGUAUUGGACUGUCAAGUUGACGCUAAACCUGCGGCUAAGACAAAAUGGUUGUUCAAUUCGAAAUUAUUACUAGGAGAGGACGAGAGCCGUUUGAAGUUAAGAAAUGUCAAAUUGCAACAGACAGGAGUAUACAAGUGUGUAGCGGCAAAUGAACACGGCACAGUUGUAAAGGAAUUCACUCUGGAUGUUUUAGUUCCGCCAUUUAUAUCUGAAUUUGAUGUACUGGACGUUCAACUGAAGGAAGGUACGAACGCUACUCUGGAAUGUAACGCACGAGGUUCUCCUAAACCUGAUAUCAAAUGGAUUUUCAAUAACACAUCAUGGUUAAUUAAAAACUCGACAAUAAUAAGUACAAAUAUAACAGCGGAGUCAGAAGGCACAUAUAAAUGUAUCGCGACUAAUAAAGCUGGGACAACAUCGCUUGUGUACAGAGUAAAUGUUGUCCAAGUCGCUAGGGUUGAAAAUAUUGUUGUUUUUAAUGGUACAGUUGGUACUAAUGUUAUAGAUAAACUGGAAGUUGUUCUAGGUUCUUAUAUCCGUAUCGCUUGCAAAGGUGCCGGCAAACCGAUACCCAAUAUACAAUGGAUACGAUAUGGCAACACUGUCAGUAAUAACACAGCAAAUAUCAGCUACGCAGAUUUAAUUAUAAAAGAAGUAGCAAAAUCGGAUUCUGGCUGGUAUGUUUGUGUGACCUCCAAUGAAGGUGGAGUCGAUGAGAGAAAAAUGAAACUGGAUGUUUUGGAGCCACCGAAAAUAUUCCAAAAUCUAUUCCAAGAGAAGUCAUUAACAAAUAUAAUAAAUCUAGAAGUACUCUCAGGGCAAGCAUUUUAUAUGCACUGUCAUCCAUAUGGCAACCCUUUACCUGAAAUAUAUUGGUUUAAAGAUGAUAUGCCCUUAAAAUUAUUUGACAAUACAAUGAUAUCUACAGAUUAUAAUGAAAUAAUUCAAUCUCCAAACGCUAAGUAUGAACAAACAGGCAAUUAUACUUGUAUAGCAAAAAAUAAAGUAGGAGAAACAGGAUUGGUUUACUUAGUUGAUGUUUUAGUACCUCCGCCACAACCAAAAGAAAGUACUAAAGUAUUGAGAACAAGAAUGGGCAAAGCUUUAAACCUGACUUGUCCAGUAGAGGGCGCGCCCCGGCCUUAUGUGAUGUGGAUCAAACAUCCUUAUAUGGAGAUCAGUGAAAAUACUCCACGGGUACAAUUAAGUGAAGACAAUGUUACUUUAGUAAUAAAUGACACUUUAGUUACCGACAGUGGAUUAUAUUCUUGUAUAAUGACAAACAAAGUGGGUGCUACCGAAGUGAACUUUAACGUGAUUAUAGAGAAGCCGGCGUCCAUCGUCGGUAAUGUAGGCAAUAACACCACAGAGAGUCAUGUGGUGGCAUUGCAACGCAGCAUUGUACUUCAAUGUGACGUUGACGGACAUCCCCCACCUAAGAUUACUUGGUUAAAGGACAUUCAGCGUGUGAGUGCUAGCGAGGCUCACAUCCAGGCAGUGUUGGGCAGCAGCCUGCUGGCGGUGUGGAGCGCGCGCGGCCAACACGCGGGGCAAUACAUCUGCGUGGCGGAGAACAGCGCCGGUACUGCCUCCCGCCGGUACAACAUCGCAGUCAAAGUGCCUGGUAAAUGGAGUGUUUGGUCUCAAUGGAGUUACUGCAAUGUGACGUGCGGCUUGGGAUAUCAGACGCGCUCUAGAUUCUGUCAUUAUAUUGAUGACAACAAUAAUACUAUUGAUAAAAACUCCGCGACAGAUAAAAUAAUUCUAGACGAGAGCGCGUGUAAAGGGUCGAUUAUCGACAAAAGGAAAUGUCACAUGCCAUCUUGUGAAAAGGAGGAGCAGUCUGCGUGGUCUGCGUGGUCUGCGUGGUCCCGCUGGGGCGCGUGCUCGGCCACGUGCGGCGCGGCCACGCAGGCGCGCGCACGACGCUGCCGGGCGCGCCUCUGCGCAGGGGAUAACCUACAAAUCAGGAAGUGUCCAAACUUACCAAAAUGCAGUCCUCAAUCGAGACAUGAAAAUGAAGUUUAUAUUAGUCAAGAAAAUAAUGAAACUAAUUUAACUUCAUAUUUACCGGAAACAACUAUAGAGAUGCAACCUGAUGAACUUGACUAUAGAAAAUCUCUAGACCCGGAGGAAAUUUAUAUACCAAGUGGUAAAAAAAUCUCAAAUGUACUUCGAUGUGAACGUGACGGAGAACUUGGACCGCAGCGAGCGCGGACCUUGUAGUGCUGGCUUUAGAUAUAAUGCAACUGAUAAAAGUUGCAAAGAUGUGGACGAGUGCGAGAUAGACAGCAACCAGUGCCACGCGACGCAGGUGUGCAGCAACACCGCGGGCGGGUACCGCUGCAGCUGCCCCGCGGGCUACGCCGCGCGCGCCGCCGGCCUGCGCUGCAUAGAUGUGAACGAGUGUGAGCAGGAGGUGCACGGGUGCGAGUUCGCGUGCGUGAACGUGGCGGGCGGAUACGUGUGCGCCUGCCCGCGACAUCUGCGGCUGCAUCUCGACAGGCACCAUUGUGUGCUGCCUCCACUUUAUAAGAAGCCGCUUGCGAUUUACGAGAAUUCUGUUUCAGACGAAUAUUCAACAGACGUCGACUUCCCAGAUAGAUAUGCUAAAUAUACUAGAUAUUAAACUUAUGUAGAAAAAUAAAUAUUUAAAUAAAACAUUGUUUUAAGAUGUAUAAAUUAUUUGUAAUUAAGUACAUUAGUUAUGUAGAGAUUUAGGUAUAUAGAUUUGUAUUUUUUAAUUACAAUAGUGGAUAUUAAAACAAAGCUGUUUAGUUUGAAUUAUAAUUUAUCAUUAGUACUAGUGAAA